AGUAUGUGCUUUGAUGGUUGCUUAUAAUUCAAUCGUGCAGAAAAGACAAACAAAUUGUGUCACUGACUGAGUGGAAAUUAGCUGCGCGUUAUGUUGACUGAAUCCAAUGAACACAAAAAAAGCAAGGACAGAGCGAUAAUUGCUCUUUCUGUUCCAACGAUGUACCUUGCAUCUUGCCCAAAGUCAGCUGGGUCAAAAACACACAAGACAUCUGGUGCGUUUCUUCCCAUCAGUCGUCAGUGAUGGACUGAGAAGGUCCAUCGUUGCUCACCCAGUUGGUGACGAUUCCGGUGACGGACGAAUACUCGCUUGCGUCAGCAACAUGAUAUUAGAGGCGCUGAGGGUGACUCCCAAACUUCAUAGCCAUGGGUCAAGAAUACCGGCGGGACAGGUCUUCAUUAAUCCUCUCUAGGAGGCUCUACAGACCCAUUUUUUAUACUGCUGUACGACAACUUUAGAAUCUCAACAAAACAAAAAAAUCGCCAGGCCAGAUGUGUGAGUUUGGCCUUAUGGGUGUGCUGGAGCUGACUGGUACACACACAUUGAAGACUACGGAUAGUUUAGCACCCAACAUGCACGUUUAUGGAAUGUAGAAGGAAGCCAGAGAGUGCUCGGAGAAAGUCCACAUAGGCACGGGCGGACACGCAACGUGUGAAAUUCGAACUGUGAGGU